UACGGAGGGAGCUAGCGUUGUUCGGAAUUACUGGGCGUAAAGCGUGCGCAGGCGGUGAUGUGAGACAGAUGUGAAAUCCCCGGGCUCAACCUGGGAACUGCAUUUGUGACUGCAUCGCUGGAGUGCGGCAGAGGGGGAUGGAAUUCCGCGUGUAGCAGUGAAAUGCGUAGAUAUGCGGAGGAACACCGAUGGCGAAGGCAAUCCCCUGGGCCUGCACUGACGCUCAUGCACGAAAGCGUGGGGAGCAAACAGG
rnacentral:rRNA from 1 species